UGGGGAAUAUUGCGCAAUGGACGAAAGUCUGACGCAGCAACGCCGCGUGAGGGAUGACGGCCUUCGGGUUGUAAACCUCUUUCAGCAGGGACGAAGCGAGAGUGACGGUACCUGCAGAAGAAGGACCGGCCAACUACGUGCCAGCAGCCGCGGUAAUACGUAGGGUCCGAGCGUUGUCCGGAAUUAUUGGGCGUAAAGGGCUCGUAGGCGGUUCGUCACGUCGGGAGUAAAAACUCGGAGCUUAACUCCGAGCCUGCUUCCGAUACGGGCAGACUAGAGGUAGGCAGGGGAGAGCGGAACUCCUGGUGUAGCGGUGGAAUGCGCAGAUAUCAGGAAGAACACCGGUGGCGAAGGCGGCUCUCUGGGCCUUACCUGACGCUGAGGAGCGAAAGCGUGGGUAGCGAACAGG
rnacentral:rRNA from 1 species